AUUGAACGCUGGCGGCAGGCUUAACACAUGCAAGUCGAGCGGAGACUUCGGUCUUAGCGGCGAACGGGUGAGUAAUACCUAGGAAUCUGCCUAUUAGUGGGGGAUAACGAAUCGAAAGGUUCGCUAAUACCGCAUACGUCCUACGGGAGAAAGGGGGGAGUCUUCGGACCUCUCGCUAAUAGAUGAGCCUAGGCCGGAUUAGCUAGUUGGUAGGGUAAAGGCCUACCAAGGCGACGAUCUGUAGCUGGCCUGAGAGGGGGAUCCCCCCACACUGGUACUGAGACACGGACCAGACUCCUACGGGAGGCAGCAGUGAGGAAUAUUGGACAAUGGGCGAGAGCCUGAUCCAGCCAUGCCGCGUGCAGGAAGACGGCCCUAU
rnacentral:rRNA from 1 species